GUUGUCUUGUUACCCAAUGGACAGUGAGCAGAACUUUUAUUCUGAAUCCCAAUUUAACUGGCCAUAGUGGCACUGAUGAGAAUGAGACAGACACAUAGAGUAGGCCACCACAAGUUAUUGGCCAAGCAACAACGCCCAAACAGGCACAAAGCCUACUUUCACCUCCGUCCCGCUUAUCUGCACAGGCAUUGCGAGAAACCAUCAGUGAUGUGCAAAGUGCUUCUCCAAUACAAGGUGCUUCUGAUACGCCCUCCUGGGGGCAGAUUAUUAUAAACUUCAGAGCUGUAAAUAUAUUCAUUACAGUACAUACUUAUUAAAUGUUCUAUCGUCAAAACAAGCCAAUAAAUGUUAUAACAAGCUGGAUUGAGUGACACAGCCAAAAAUGGAAAGUUUCACCUUGUGACUC